CAGUCGCCGCGGGAAUACGAAGGGUGCAAGCGUUAAUCGGAAUUACUGGGCGUAAAGCGUGCGUAGGCGGUUUGUUAAGUCUGUUGUGAAAUCCCCGGGCUCAACCUGGGAAUGGCAAUGGAUACUGGCAAGCUAGAGUGUGUCAGAGGAUGGUGGAAUUCCCGGUGUAGCGGUGAAAUGCGUAGAGAUCGGGAGGAACAUCAGUGGCGAAGGCGGCCAUCUGGGACAACACUGACGCUGAGGCACGAAAGCGUGGGGAGCAAACAGGAUUAGAUACCCGCGUAGUCCCUGUCUCUUAUAC
rnacentral:rRNA from 1 species